CGAACCCAGAUAACUGCGAUCAAUUAUGAGCUUUAUUUUCCUCGCAAUUUAUACGCCAGCUGCGUCCAAGAACGGACAGUCUUGCAUAUUAGUUUCUUUGUAGAUGGUGUCAGUUCGCGUUCACUUUGAUUGAAAUUGAAAUUUAUAAAAAAAAGAAAAAUCAUGAAUUCAUUACUUUUUUCAUCGCUUAUUGUGCUAUGUGUUUCGUGUGCAAGUUCUUUGAGAAUAAAGACACGUGAAGAGCAGCCCACACUACCAAGAAAAACAACUGAAGCACCUGUUCCCAAAAAGUGGGCACUAUUAGUCGCAGGAUCAAAUGGAUGGGGCAAUUAUAGACAUCAGGCUGACAUUUGUCACGCGUAUCAGAUUUUGAGGAAAAAUGGUUUCCUAGCAGAAAACAUUAUUACAAUGAUGUACGAUGAUAUUGCCAACGAUAAAAACAAUCCUACACCUGGUGUGAUAAUUAAUUCACCAAACGGCACAGACGUUUACAAAGGAGUAGUCAUAGAUUACAGAGAAAACGAUGUCACUCCAGAAAACUUUUUGAAAGUUUUGCAGGGCAAAAAGAGCCUAAUGUCUGGUAUCGGUAGCGGAAAAGUAAUCGAAAGUGGCCCCGACGAUUACAUUUUCGUCAAUUUCGCUGAUCACGGAGGCGAUCAUAUCUUAUGUUUUCCAAACGACGUGUUGCAUUCGAAGGAUUUGAUUUCAGCUUUGAAUAACAUGACCGAUGAAAAACGUUACAACAAGAUGUUCCUCUACAUUGAAGCGUGCGAAGCCGGUUCCAUGUUCGAAAGUCUAUUAAAAGAUACCACAAACAUAUUCGUAAUGGCAGCUGCUACUCCAGAUGAAUCGUCUUAUGCGUGCUACUGGGAUGAUAAAAUGGAAGUCUUUCUCGGAGAUCUAUUUUCUGUCAACUGGAUGCACCAAGUUGAAAUCGAAAAAUUAUCGACAGUUUCACUACAUCACAUAUUUGAAAGAGUACGAACUAAAACAACGAAAAGUCACGCCGAAGAAUACGGAGACUUGGACAUAGGAAGCACAAAAGUGUCGGAAGUUAUCGGUGAAUCGAAACAAGUUGAUGAAAACGAAGCUACUCCUUUUGUGGAUCCAAAUUUGGACGCUGUACCUCAACCUGAAGCCAAAACAUCUGGUUUGCAAUUAGCAUUGGAAUCAGCAAUAAAACGACAAGAUCAGCCUGCAAUUAGAAAAUACAAAAAACUCUUAUCAGAAGAAAUUCGCAAAAGACUCGUCCACAUGAAAAAACUGAACGACAUAUUAGCCAAAUUAACCAACAGUGAUCCCGCCAAAAUCAAACUUCUGGAGCAAUCUCGUGUCGCAGUGAACGACGAAGGAUUGGAAUGCUACAAGACUGCGUUGGAAGCUUAUUUGUCUUCUUGUUUGAAUUUCCCUGAACGUGAAUUCAUGUACCCAUCGAUGAAGUACUUCUUGAGACUUUGUCACGCUGACUGGACCCAUAUCGGACACAUUACCAACGCUAUUAAAUCAGCCUGCCAUUAAUAGAGAAACUUGAUUCAAUCUGAAAGAUUUUCUAUCAUGUCUAUAGUAUAAAAAUUACAUUGUAAGUAACCUUAUUAGAAUUUGAAGACUCGAAUUAUUCAAAUUGAAAACACUUCUUCUCAACAUCUCAGCUCAUUGAUUGAGGUAUUUCUUCCAAACACAGAAGAUGCAGAUUAUAUCACCAAAACGUUAUCAAUUUUCAUCAUUUAUUUGCAGUUUUUUGGGUUUUAAAAAUUCUAUGCAUAUUGUAUGUGUAUUAAAAUUGAAAAAAAUAAACCACACUUUUCACGAUAAA